rnacentral:rRNA from 1 species
AUUGAACGCUGGCGGAAUGCUUUACACAUGCAAGUCGAACGGCAGCACGGACUUCGGUCUGGUGGCGAGUGGCGAACGGGUGAGUAAUGUAUCGGAACGUGCCCAGUCGUGGGGGAUAACGUAGUGAAAAUUACGCUAAUACCGCAUACGAUCUAUGGAUGAAAGCGGGGGAUCGCAAGACCCCGCGCGAUUGGAGCGGACGAUAUCAGAUUAGGUAGUUGGUGGGGUAAAGGCCCACCAAGCCAACGAUCUGUAGCUGGUCUGAGAGGACGACCAGCCACACUGGAACUGAGACACGGUCCAGACUCCUACGGGAGGCAGCAGUGGGGAGUUUUGGACAAUGGGCGAAAGCCUGAUCCAGCCAUUCCGCGUGCAGGAUGAAGGCCCUCGGGUUGUAAACUGCUUUUGUACAGAACGAAAAGGUUUCUACUAAUACUAGGAGCUCAUGACGGUACUGUAAGAAUAAGCACCGGCUAACUACGUGCCAGCCGCCGCAGUAA